AUGAACGCUGGCGGCGUGCCUCAUACAUGCAAGUCGAGCGAACGGACGAGAAGCUUGCUUCUCUGAUGUUAGCGGCGGACGGGUGAGUAACACGUGGAUAACCUACCUAUAAGACUGGGAUAACUUCGGGAAACCGGAGCUAAUACCGGAUAAUAUUUUGAACCGCAUGGUUCAAAAGUGAAAGACGGUCUUGCUGUCACUUAUAGAUGGAUCCGCGCUGCAUUAGCUAGUUGGUAAGGUAACGGCUUACCAAGGCAACGAUGCAUAGCCGACCUGAGAGGGUGAUCGGCCACACUGGAACUGAGACGCGGUCCAGACUCCUACGGGAGGCAGCAGUAGGGAAUCUUCCGCAAUGGGCGAAAGCCUGACGGAGCAACGCCGCGUGAGUGAUGAAGGUCUUCGGAUCGUAAAACUCUGUUAUUAGGGAAGAACAUAUGUGUAAGUAACUGUGCACAUCUUGACGGUACCUAAUCAGAAAGCCACGGCUAACUACGUG
rnacentral:rRNA from 1 species